GAUCAUGGCUCAGAUUGAACGCUGGCGGCAUGCUUUACACAUGCAAGUCGAACGGCAGCACGGAGAGCUUGCUCUCUGGUGGCGAGUGGCGCACGGGUGAGUAAUACAUCGGAACGUGUCCUGUUGUGGGGGACAACCGGUCGAAAAGACCGGCUAAUACCGCAUAAGACCUGAGGGUGAAAGCGGGGGAUCGCAAGACCUCGCGCAAAUUGGAGCGGCCGAUGCCCGAUUAG
rnacentral:rRNA from 1 species